rnacentral:rRNA from 1 species
AUUGAACGCUGGCGGCAGGCUUAACACAUGCAAGUCGAACGAGUGGCGGACGGGUGAGUAAUGCUGGGGUAUCUGGCUUAGUGAGGGGGAUAACUACGGGAAACGGUAGCUAAUACCGCGUACUAUAGGCUGAGCCCAAGCGGGAUUAGGUAGUUGGUGUGGUAAAGGCUCACCAAGCCGACGAUCUCUAGCUGGUCUGAGAGGAUGACCAGCCACACUGGGACUGAGACACGGCCCAGACGCCUACGGGAGGCAGCAGUGGGGAAUAUUGCGCAAUGGGGGCAACCUGACGCAGGCAGGCCGCGUGAAUGAAGAAGGCCUUCGGGUUGUAAAGUUGUUUCGGAAGCGAGGCGUUACCUACAGAAGAAGCACCGGCUAACUCCGUGCCAGCAGCCGCGGUAAUAC